rnacentral:rRNA from 1 species
GACGAACGCUGGCGGCGUGCUUAACACAUGCAAGUCGAACGGAAAGGCCCUGCUUUUGUGGGGUGCCCGAUGGGCGAAGGGGGGAGUAACACGUGAGUAACCUGCCCUAGACUUUGGGAUAAGUUAAGGAAACUGGGCUUAAUACAGUAUAGGAGCCCCCCUUCCGUGGUGGGGGUUGGAAAGUUUCGGCGGUUGGGGAUGGACUCGCGGCUUAUCAGCUUGUUGGUGGGGUAGUGGCUGACCAAGGCUUUGACGGGUAGCCGGCCUGAGAGGGUGACCGGCCACAUUGGGACUACGGUACGGCCCAGACUCCUACGGGAGGCAGCAGUGGGGAAUAUUGCACAAUGGGCGGAAGCCUGAUGCAGAAGCGCCGCGUGCGGGAUGACGGCCUUCGGGUUGUAAACCGCUUUCGCCUGUGACGAAGCGUGAGUGACGGUAAUGGGUAAAGAAGCACCGGCUAACUACGUG